CUCUCACUCUGGCUGAGUUGUGGCUCUCACUGGGAUCAAACCAUGCAAAGAGAGCAUUAACGCUUUUACAUGGGGCUCUUCCAAUGAUUCUUGGCCAUGGAGGUCUGGAGCUUCGAGCUAGGGCGCGGAUUGCUGAAUCAAAAUGCUAUCUUUCUGAUCCAAGCUAUUCAGUUUUUGAAGAUUCUGAGGUUGUACUAGAUCCUUUGAGGCAAGCUUCUGAUGAGCUUCAGGUGUUGGAGUAUCAUGAAUUAGCUGCUGAAGGUUUCUACUUGAUGGCCAUAAUAUUUGACAAAUUGGGAAAACUAGAGGAAAGGGAAGAAGCUGCCGCUUCAUUCAAGAAACAUGUAAUGGCACUUGAGAAUCCUCAGGAUGAGGAUCCUUUGUUGAAUUUGUUAUAAUAAAAUUUGAAAUUAUGAAAUCAUUUAGUGUUUGUAUCUUUUACUCAUUUUCUCCUCCCUGUGAUGUCCCUAGAACAUAGUUAGCAUUUUAAGCCGUAAUUUUGGCC
rnacentral:misc_RNA from 1 species